rnacentral:rRNA from 1 species
AGAGUUUGAUCAUGGCUCAGAUUGAACGCUGGCGGCAGGCCUAACACAUGCAAGUCGAACGGUAACAGGAAGAAGCUUGCUUCUUUGCUGACGAGUGGCGGACGGGUGAGUAAUGUCUGGGAAACUGCCUGAUGGAGGGGGAUAACUACUGGAAACGGUAGCUAAUACCGCAUAACGUCGCAAGACCAAAGAGGGGGACCUUCGGGCCUCUUGCCAUCGGAUGUGCCCAGAUGGGAUUAGCUAGUAGGUGGGGUAACGGCUCACCUAGGCGACGAUCCCUAGCUGGUCUGAGAGGAUGACCAGCCACACUGGAACUGAGACACGGUCCAGACUCCUACGGGAGGCAGCAGUGGGGAAUAUUGCACAAUGGGCGCAAGCCUGAUGCAGCCAUGCCGCGUGUAUGAAGAAGGCCUUCGGGUUGUAAAGUACUUUCAGCGGGGAGGAAGGGAGUAAAGUUAAUACCUUUGCUCAUUGACGUUACCCGCAGAAGAAGCACCGGCUAACUCCGUGCCAGCAGCCGCGGUAAUACGGAGGGUGCAAGCGUUAAUCGGAAUUACUGGGCGUAAAGCGCACGCAGGCGGUUUGUUAAGUCAGAUGUGAAAUCCCCGGGCUCAACCUGGGAACUGCAUCUGAUACUGGCAAGCUUGAGUCUCGUAGAGGGGGGUAGAAUUCCAGGUGUAGCGGUGAAAUGCGUAGAGAUCUGGAGGAAUACCGGUGGCGAAGGCGGCCCCCUGGACGAAGACUGACGCUCAGGUGCGAAAGCGUGGGAGACAAACAGGAUUAGAUACCCUGGUAGUCCACGCCGUAAACGAUGUCGACUUGGAGGUUGUGCCCUUGAGGCGUGGCUUCCGGAGCUAACGCGUUAAGUCGACCGCCUGGGGAGUACGGCCGCAAGGUUAAAACUCAAAUGAAUUGACGGGGGCCCGCACAAGCGGUGGAGCAUGUGGUUUAAUUCGAUGCAACGCGAAGAACCUUACCUGGUCUUGACAUCCACAGAACUUUCCAGAGAUGGAUUGGUGCCUUCGGGAACUGUGAGACAGGUGCUGCAUGGCUGUCGUCAGCUCGUGUUGUGAAAUGUUGGGUUAAGUCCCGCAACGAGCGCAACCCUUAUCCUUUGUUGCCAGCGGUCCGGCCGGGAACUCAAAGGAGACUGCCAGUGAUAAACUGGAGGAAGGUGGGGAUGACGUCAAGUCAUCAUGGCCCUUACGACCAGGGCUACACACGUGCUACAAUGGCGCAUACAAAGAGAAGCGACCUCGCGAGAGCAAGCGGACCUCAUAAAGUGCGUCGUAGUCCGGAUUGGAGUCUGCAACUCGACUCCAUGAAGUCGGAAUCGCUAGUAAUCGUGGAUCAGAAUGCCACGGUGAAUACGUUCCCGGGCCUUGUACACACCGCCCGUCACACCAUGGGAGUGGGUUGCAAAAGAAGUAGGUAGCUUAACCUUCGGGAGGGCGCUUACCACUUUGUGAUUCAUGACUGGGGUGAAGUCGUAACAAGGUAACCGUAGGGGAACCUGCGGUUGGAUCACCU